AAAUUGAAGAGUUUGAUCAUGGCUCAGAUUGAACGCUGGCGGCAGGCCUAACACAUGCAAGUCGAACGGUAGCACAGAGAGCUUGCUCUCGGGUGACGAGUGGCGGACGGGUGAGUAAUGUCUGGGAAACUGCCUGAUGGAGGGGGAUAACUACUGGAAACGGUGGCUAAUACCGCAUAACGUCGCAAGACCAAAGAGGGGGACCUUCGGGCCUCUUGCCAUCAGAUGUGC
rnacentral:rRNA from 3 species